rnacentral:rRNA from 1 species
CUUAGUGGCGGACGGGUGAGUAACGCGUGGGGAACCUGCCUUGCACCGGGGGAUAACACUUAGAAAUAGGUGCUAAUACCGCAUAAGCGCACAGAGCCGCAUGGCUCGGUGUGAAAAACUCCGGUGGUGCAAGAUGGACCCGCGUCUGAUUAGCUGGUUGGCGGGGUAACGGCCCACCAAGGCGACGAUCAGUAGCCGGCCUGAGAGGGUGAACGGCCACAUUGGGACUGAGACACGGCCCAAACUCCUACGGGAGGCAGCAG